rnacentral:rRNA from 1 species
ACGAACGCUGGCGGCAUGCCUAACACAUGCACGUCGAACGAUGGUCUUCGGAUCAUAGUGGCGCACGGGUGCGUAACGCGUGGGAAUCUGCCCUUGGGUUCGGAAUAACAGUUGGAAACGACUGCUAAUACCGGAUGAUGUCGAUAAGACCAAAGAUUUAUCGCCCGAGGAUGAGCCCGCGUCGGAUUAGCUAGUUGGUGGGGUAAAGGCCUACCUAGGCGACGAUCCGUAGCUGGUCUGAGAGGAUGAUCAGCCACACUGGGACUGAGACACGGCCCAGACUCCUACGGGAGGCAGCAGUGGGGAAUAUUGGACAAUGGGCGCAAGCCUGAUCCAGCAAUGCCGCGUGAGUGAUGAAGGCCUUAGGGUUGUAAAGCUCUUUUACCCGGGAAGAUAAUGACUGUACCGGGAGAAUAAGCCCCGGCUAACUCCGUG